rfam:Loxodonta africana unplaced genomic scaffold scaffold_45, whole genome shotgun sequence.
GUUGAAGCAAAGUGAUGAGCAUUACUGGCUGGAGCCCCAAAGAGGCACGUGUGUGUAUGUGGGUGUGAAUCUGUGUGCCUGUCUGGGUGUGAACACGUGUAUGGGGUGUGUGACUGUGUCUGACUGGCUGUAGGGAACUAGUUACGUGCCUUCUGUUGGACGAUGACAGUCAAACUGAUAAGAUCUGAUUGCUUC